rnacentral:rRNA from 1 species
GGCAGGCCUAACACAUGCAAGUCGAGCGGAUGACGGGAGCUUGCUCCUUGAUUCAGCGGCGGACGGGUGAGUAAUGCCUAGGAAUCUGCCUGGUAGUGGGGGACAACGUUUCGAAAGGAACGCUAAUACCGCAUACGUCCUACGGGAGAAAGCAGGGGACCUUCGGGCCUUGCGCUAUCAGAUGAGCCUAGGUCGGAUUAGCUAGUAGGUGAGGUAAUGGCUCACCUAGGCGACGAUCCGUAACUGGUCUGAGAGGAUGAUCAGUCACACUGGAACUGAGACACGGUCCAGACUCCUACGGGAGGCAGCAGUGGGGAAUAUUGGACAAUGGGCGAAAGCCUGAUCCAGCCAUGCCGCGUGUGUGAAGAAGGUCUUCGGAUUGUAAAGCACUUUAAGUUGGGAGGAAGGGUUGUACGUUAAUACCGUGCAAUUUUGACGUUACCGACAGAAUAAGCACCGGCUAACUCUGUGCCAGCAGCCGCGGUAAUACAGAGGGUGCAAGCGUUAAUCGGAAUUACUGGGCGUAAAGCGCGCGUAGGUGGUUUGUUAAGUUGGAUGUGAAAGCCCCGGGCUCAACCUGGGAACUGCAUCCAAAACUGGCAAGCUAGAGUACGGUAGAGGGUGGUGGAAUUUCCUGUGUAGCGGUGAAAUGCGUAG